rnacentral:rRNA from 1 species
AGUGAACGCUGGCGGUAGGCCUAACACAUGCAAGUCGAACGGCAGCACAGGAGAGCUUGCUCUCUGGGUGGCGAGUGGCGGACGGGUGAGGAAUACAUCGGAAUCUACUUUUUCGUGGGGGAUAACGUAGGGAAACUUACGCUAAUACCGCAUACGACCUACGGGUGAAAGCAGGGGACCUUCGGGCCUUGCGCGAUUGAAUGAGCCGAUGUCGGAUUAGCUAGUUGGCGGGGUAAAGGCCCACCAAGGCGACGAUCCGUAGCUGGUCUGAAAGGUAGAACAACAAGACUGGAGGUGAGACAGGGUGCGGACGCCUACGGGAGGCAGCAGUGGGGAAUAUUGGACAAUGGACGCAAGCCUGAUCCAGCCAUACCGCGUGGGUGAAGAGGGCCUUCGGGUUGUAAAGCCCUUUUGUUGGGAAAGAAAUCCAGCUGGCUAAUACCCGGUUGGGAUGACGGUACCCAAAGAAUAAGCACCGGCUAACUUCGUGCCAGCAGCCGCCGUAA